UAUUCUUGUGAAGCAGAAUUCACCAAGUGUCGGAUUGUUCACCCGCUAAUAGGGAACGUGAGCUGGGUUUAGACCGUCGUGAGACAGGUUAGUUUUACCCUACUGAUGAAACGAUGUUGCGACAGUAAUUCAACUUAGUACGAGAGGAACCGUUGGAUCAGAUAAUUGGUUAAUACGGUUAGCUGAAAAGCUAGUGCCGUGAAGCUACCAUCUGUAGGAUUAUGACUGAACGCCUCUAAGUCAGAAUCCAUGCUGGAAAGCAACGUCUAAUCAAUAAUAAAUGAAAAAGCAUAGGUUUUACCUUAGUUCAAAUAAAUGGCUUAAGCGGCCAUCCGGAACAGGAUAGGUUCGUAAGAGCUGAAUCGUAAUUUCGAAUUAUUAUUGAUGCAAAUCGUU
rnacentral:rRNA from 1 species